AACCAGCAAAGAACGCAUAGAGGCCUGGACCUCAAUGUUUAGCUGCGGAGACCUGCAGGAGACCUGCAGCUUAGCUGUGGAGUCAGUUGAGCUUGAGCAAGCCACUUCCUUUCAACCUCAGUUUCUCAAUCUUUAAAAUAGCCCAGCACUAAGAUUUGACCUUGCCACCAACUUGAGCCAUGUCACCCGGACCUUGCCUCCGAGGCAAUUCCCAACCUCAAUGAAUUCUGCAAUGAUCCUGUUCCCAACCUGACCACCCACAUUAGAAUGAGAUUACUGACAGAUUAAUUGCAAGAAAGUGGAAGAGACAAAGAGAUAAAUGCAUUUUAUUUUCGCAUUUCUGUAUGGCACUCCAAACAGUUGUUGUUUGUAUGAACACAAUGCAGGCUCCACAAAUGGAACAAGGAUGAUUUCUCUCUAACUGUCAUAGAGCAUUAUUAAGGAUGGACAGUUUUCCAGGGAGUUAUCCAUGUGGUUCCUAUGAAGAAUUGUUAACAGCUUGAAGAAUCUCGUAAUUUUGAAGCCGAAUGUUGGACUUCAUUGGACAUUUGAAUCAACAUGGGCAUAAAACACUGAGAGGAUUUGCCCAUUUUUUUGUGGUGAGUUGGUUCACCAAAAGUGCCUACAGUCAGAACUGGAGGUGAACCUCCUCUUUCUCAGGCAAAACUGAGGAAUUUCAAGGUAAACCAAAAGCUUCAAUGGUUAGCUGAGUUUUUUAGAAUGGAUCCCACAAAUCUUCAAGUUUUUUGUGUUCAAGCCUUCAGUCAUUUUUUGGGGGGUGGGGGGGUGUUAGAAUUAUGCUUGUUUUAACCUAACCCUUCCUAUCGGCACUGUCCUUCAACUUUAACCUUAUAACACCUAUAGUUCCUGGAUCUGCCUUUUCCCUGCUACCGCCACAGCACCAGCCCUUGCUUACUUAGCAUAUUAACCUGUGUAUAAGACGACCCUCAAUUUAUCACCAAAAAAAAAUCAGAAAAAAGGUUGUCUUAUACAUGGAAAAAUACAAUAAGUCUGGGCACUAUGAAUGAGGUUGG